rnacentral:rRNA from 1 species
UACAGAGGGUGCGAGCGUUAAUCGGAAUUACUGGGCGUAAAGCGUGCGUAGACGGUUGUCUAAGUCGGAUGUGAAAUCCCCGGGCUCAACCUGGGAAUUGCAUUCGAGACUGAACAGCUAGGGUGCGGAAGAGGGAAGCGGAAUUUCAGGUGUAGCGGUGAAAUGCGUAGAUAUCUGAAGGAACACCAGUGGCGAAAGCGGCUUCCUGGUCCAGCACCGACGUUCAGGCACGAAAGCGUGGGGAGCAAACAGG